rnacentral:misc_RNA from 1 species
GAAAUGCGAUAAGUAAUGUGAAUUGCAGAAUUCAGUGAAUCAUCGAAUCUUUGAACGCACCUUGCGCUCCUUGGUAUUCCUUGGAGCAUGCCUGUUUGAGUAUCAUGAAAUCUUCAAAGUAAAUCUUUUGUUAACUCAAUUGGUUUCUACUUUGGUAUUGGAGGUCUUUGCAGCUUCACACCUUCUCCUCUUUGUUCAUUAGCUGGAUCUCAGUGUUAUGCUUGGUUCCACUCGGCGUGAUAAGUUAUCUAUCGCUGAGGACACUGUAAAAGGUGGCCAAGGUAAAUGCAGAUGAACCGCUUCUAAUAGUCCAUUGACUUGGACAAUACUUUUAUGAUCUGAUCUCAAAUCAGGUAGGACUACCCGCUGAACUUAAGC